CGGUGCCCCACAUGCGACCUGAGAAUGGGGGAAUCCAUGGAGUGACGCUGUUCAUGGGCCCAAGGUAGAAAAAAGGAAAAGAAAAUAGAGGACCUGACAAUGUGGGAGCCUGCCACACUGCGCUAAACCUCAGUAAGUGAACAGUGAUUGUGGUACAAGAAAUGUGUCAACACAAGAUUUUUGUUGAAAGUUUAGGAAAAGCUUUAAAGACAAGAGGAUUAAAGGUUAACAUUAAGCAAUUGUGUCAAUUGCAGCUUAAUACAUUUUAAG
rfam:Cavia porcellus supercont2_95 genomic scaffold, whole genome shotgun sequence.